UGGUUUCUCCGCCUUCACCGCUUCCAUCACCACCACAGGCAAUAGAUCAGCAUCCUCCACUUCCAUCACCACCACAACCAUACCUACUGCUUCAUCUUCUCGAUUGAUUUUUGUAUGCUCAAAAUCAACGAAACACACAAAAAACCUUAAAAACAAAUUUGUAUAGACUCUCACUUCACAAAUUGAAACUCACUGUUAGAAAUCAAAGCUUUAUCUGAACCCAUAUCUGAACUAAAACCCAUGUAUCAGAAGAAAUCAAGAGGAAGCUUUCUAACCCUAAAUUUAUAGUUGUUUUGUUCUUGAAAUCAUCAGGAUAAUAUCAGUUGCUCUUGAAAUCAUCAGGGUAAUGUCAAUCUUGUUCUUAUUCAUAAAUCAAACCCUAAUUUCAUAAAGGAAACCUGUAGAUUUCAAAUUAUGUUUAUAUUUGGAAUAAAAUUAGGGAUUUUAUUUGGGGGGUUUGUUAGGGUUUCAUUAAAUUGUGGUUGUAGAAUUUUAAUUAAUUUUUUCCCGAAUUGGUAUCGAAAUUCUUGGAUUGGGUUUGAGUUUAUGCAGACGAAACCGUUAAAUUAGGGUUUAAUUUUUUUUUCUUGGAACUGUAUCAGGUAAUAUUUGGCUUUGCAAUUUAAGACAUGGUUUGAUUUUGUGGAUAAGGAUUUUGUUGUCAGUUAAUGCUUGAUUUUUUCUUGAUUUGCAGAGGGAGUAUUAUUGGUUUUUGAUUACCGUCAAUUGAGUUUUUGAGGACUUAUUUGAAUCUACCAUAUGAGAUUGUGCCUAAUACUUUGAAGAAAUCUGCUCAAACUGGUAGAGCAGCAUAGGGUGAUCAUCCUAGGCGCAAUUACGAAGGUGGUGACAGACCAAGAUUUAAUGACAACUGAGGUGGAUGUUGCGGUGGACCAAGAGGGGGAGCACCAGGGGAGUUUGGAGCAGAUAAAGCUGGUGCUCCAGCUGAGCAUCAACCAUAAUUUAAGGAGAUGGCGCUGCAGGCUCAGGUCUUCCUUAAGUGGAAGAUCGUUUCUUUUAUGCUCUAUUGAAUAAUGAGGUUUAGCGUUAGCCUUAACCACAUAAUGGAUGUUAGAUAUUUAAGUUUGAAGAAAGAUGCUCAAACUGGUAGAGCACCUAAGCUAAGAAAAUCAUACUGUCUUCUUAGAAAGGUCUAAGAGGUGGAGCACCAGGAGAAAGGUCUGGUUACUUUAACAUCAGUUAUCAACUUCAGUGAAGUUUGAUAAAAAAAAUUGGGGAGCAAUUACGAUUAGAAAGGAUGAAGAACAGAGCUUGGAAAACUCGUAUUUGUGCUCUUGAGGAUAUGAGAUCUCCAACAACUCAGAACUCUCGCAGUAGGAACUGUCCAUUCUAUGAAUGAUAAUCGUCAGGGCUUGCAAUGAAAGUGGUGCCAAGGGCUGCGAGGUUGUUUCCUUAACUGCAGAGUAAGCUUUCAUGUGCUUCUUUAAGAGUUUUUGGAUUCUUAGAGUUCAAGAAGCUAGCCGAUCGGAAAUGACUUGCUGGUUUUUAGUUUCCACCUGAAUACUUUCUCAGUAUUUCAUCUUUUUUGUGUAGUUUUACACCCAAUGGAUAAAAUGGAUGAAUGUUAAAUUUCUCAGUUUGAUUAUAAAUUUCAAUUUAAUUUGAAGUUGCAUUUG